CGCGGCCUAUCAGCUUGUUGGUGGGGUAAUGGCCUACCAAGGCGACGACGGGUAGCUGGCGUGAGAGCGUGGCCAGCCACACUGGGACUGAGACACGGCCUAGACUCCUACGGGAGGCAGCAGUGGGGAAUCUUGCGCAAUGGGCGAAAGCCUGACGCAGCGACGCCGCGUGAGGGAUGAAGGCCCUCGGGUUGUAAACCUCUUUCGGCAGGGAAGAAGCGAAAGUGACGGUACCUGCAGAAGAAGCCCCGGCCAACUACGUGCCAGCAGCCGCGGUAAGACGUAGUGGGCGAGCGUUGUCCGGAUUUAUUGGGCGUAAAGCGCGCGCAGGCGGUUCGGAAAGUCGGAUGUGAAAAUCCGGGGCUCAACCCCGGACCUGCACCCGAUACUCCCGGACUGGAGGCAGGUAGGGGAGAGCGGAAUUCCCGGUGUAGCGGUGAAAUGCGCAGAUAUCGGGAAGAACACCGGUGGCGAAGGCGGCUCUCUGGGCCUGUCCUGACGCUCAGGCGCGAAAGCUAGGGGAGCGAACAGGAUUAGAUACCCUGGUAGUCCUAGCCGUAAACGAUGGGUGCUAGGUGUGGGGCGGCGAUCGACCCGUUCCGUGCCGUAGCCAACGCAUUAAGCACCCCGCCUGGGGAGUACGG
rnacentral:rRNA from 1 species